UUGAUAGAAACCAAAAAGAGGUAUGUCACUGUUAAUGAUAAAAUUGAGCUCUGCUCCUGUCAAG
rnacentral:tRNA from 1 species